rnacentral:lncRNA from 10 species
UUUGGAGUUUUAUUUAAUGUCGGGAGCAGAUUGGGUAAUAAAAUUUAUUUUGAGAAUAAGACGGCCUUUUGACUUUUUAGGGUCUAGGGCUGUAAAGCUUUUCAAGGUUACUCUGGGUUCUCUUUGGCCAAGAGAAGGUCCAUUCAGUCUGUUAAGGGGCUUAGAAUUUUAAUUUUAGUUUAUACCCAUAUUCACUAUACAAUGGUUUCCCUUUAUGCAAGUGCUUCUUCUGCUUCUAAUUAACCUCUUUUCACACCCCCGACUAGAAACAAUAACCUCUCCUCCAAUAAGCACACAGUUUCAGAAAAAAAGAUUAGUGUACCCAAAGGGCAAAGCAAACAGAUAUAUCUUGUGGUAUGUUCGAACAAUUGUAAAGCUGUACCUCUGGCAAAUGAUGGGUGGGCGUGAAUUAGAGAGGUCUAGGUGAAUUAUAGAGGUGGGAAUCUUCCAUCAAGGAGGCCCAGCUGUCUGCCUCAAGGUGCUUGACCCUGGCAAGAGAAAACAGGAGC